rnacentral:rRNA from 1 species
UACGUAGGGUGCAAGCGUUGUCCGGAAUUAUUGGGCGUAAAGAGCUCGUAGGCGGUUUGUCGCGUCUGCCGUGAAAGUCCGGGGCUCAACUCCGGAUCUGCGGUGGGUACGGGCAGACUAGAGUGAUGUAGGGGAGACUGGAAUUCCUGGUGUAGCGGUGAAAUGCGCAGAUAUCAGGAGGAACACCGAUGGCGAAGGCAGGUCUCUGGGCAUUAACUGACGCUGAGGAGCGAAAGCAUGGGGAGCGAACAGGG